rnacentral:rRNA from 1 species
UACACAUGCAAGUCGAGCGGAUGACAGGAGCUUGCUCCUGAAUUCAGCGGCGGACGGGUGAGUAAUGCCUAGGAAUCUGCCUGGUAGUGGGGGACAACGUUUCGAAAGGAACGCUAAUACCGCAUACGUCCUACGGGAGAAAGCAGGGGACCUUCGGGCCUUGCGCUAUCAGAUGAGCCUAGGUCGGAUUAGCUAGUUGGUGAGGUAAUGGCUCACCAAGGCGACGAUCCGUAACUGGUCUGAGAGGAUGAUCAGUCACACUGGAACUGAGACACGGUCCAGACUCCUACGGGAGGCAGCAGUGGGGAAUAUUGGACAAUGGGCGAAAGCCUGAUCCAGCCAUGCCGCGUGUGUGAAGAAGGUCUUCGGAUUGUAAAGCACUUUAAGUUGGGAGGAAGGGCAGUAACUUAAUACGUUGCUGUUUUGACGUUACCGACAGAAUAAGCACCGGCUAACUCUGUGCCAGCAGCCGCGGUAAUACAGAGGGUGCAAGCGUUAAUCGGAAUUACUGGGCGUAAAGCGCGCGUAGGUGGUUUGUUAAGUUGGAUGUGAAAGCCCCGGGCUCAACCUGGGAACUGCAUUCAAAACUGACAAGCUAGAGUAUGGUAGAGGGUGGUGGAAUUUCCUGUGUAGCGGUGAAAUGCGUAGAUAUAGGAAGGAACACCAGUGGCGAAGGCGACCACCUGGACUGAUACUGACACUGAGGUGCGAAAGCGUGGGGAGCAAACAGGAUUAAAUACCCUGGUAGUCCACGCCGUAAACGAUGUCAACUAGCCGUUGGGAGCCUUGAGCUCUUAGUGGCGCAGCUAACGCAUUAAGUUGACCGCCUGGGGAGUACGGCCC